AUUUAUCGACAUUUUAUCAAGGAAAAAAGAAGUUGUGAUAUUCUAAAUAUUUUCAAUAUAACCUCUGAAUUACAACUUGCAAAUGCCUUCAAUAAAGAACUCGGAAAUAAGUUAUUUCAUAGUUUGAUUUGCAAGAAGGACAUGAGAGGUAUUUAUGUACCAUCUUGAGGAGUAUUGACUACCGAGAUUAUUGAGAAAAUAAUUUAUUAUUUUGUAAAUAUUCCUUAAUAUAAAUCCUAAAUUAGUAAUAUCUAUAUAUAGUUUCUUUUCUGAACCGACGUAGUGCAUAUAAAUAUGUAAAAAG
rnacentral:lncRNA from 1 species